GUUUGUGUAUUACUUUGAUGUUAAUAAAUUUUGUUCUAAUAUAAAAUAACAGAGCAUUAACUUUCUGCAUCAUCACCUUGCCAAGCAGCAAAUGACUGGUUUCGGUGGUGUGGUUAGUUUUGAGUUUGUGAAUGCACUGAAAAUUCCAUAUAUAGCUCCAUCAUUUGGUGGGUGUGAAAGCAUCAUGGAUCAACCAGCUAUAAUGUCUUACUGAGAUCUGAGCCAAUCAAAGAGGGAAAAAUACGGGAUUAAAGAUAACUUGGUGCGAUUCAGCUUUGGAGUUGAGGACUUCGACGAUCUGAAGGCCGAUAUACUUCAAGCCCUGGAGACCAUAUAGCUUGGUACAUACCUGUCCUUUUGUUUUAUUU